UAAUGUUGUGAUGACUGGCAAAAUGUUCAACUGCUCUGAAAGGGCUGAAUGAAAAUAGCCUCUCUGAACAUGA
ensembl:snoRNA